rnacentral:rRNA from 1 species
UGUAAGCGUAUACCAAAGUUGUUGCAGUUAAAACGCUCGUAGUCGGAAUUUGGCAGUUCCGGAAGUGUGCACGUCGUGUGCGCACUUUGCGGGGACUGCUUUUGUGGUCUUGCGUAGGAUGAGGCACUUUCAUUAGUGAACGUCCUCACGCAACCACUCUUUACUGUGAGAAAAUCAGAGUGCUCAAAGCAGGCAUUUGCCGUGAAUGUAUUAGCAUGGAAUAAUAGAAUAGGACUCGGUUCUAUUUUGUUGGUUUGUUGGGACUGAGUAGUGAUUAAGAGGGACAGUUGGGGGCAUUUGUAUUCCGGCGCUAGAGGUGAAAUUCUUAGAUUGCCGGAAGACAAACUGCUGCGAAAGCGUCUGCCAAGGAUGUUUUCAUUGA